UACGGAGGGGGCUAGCGUUGCUCGGAAUUACUGGGCGUAAAGCGCACGUAGGCGGCUUUGUAAGUUAGAGGUGAAAGCCCGGGGCUCAACUCCGGAAUUGCCUUUAAGACUGCAUCGCUCGAAUUGUGGAGAGGUAAGUGGAAUUCCGAGUGUAGAGGUGAAAUUCGUAGAUAUUCGGAAGAACACCAGUGGCGAAGGCGACUUACUAGACACAUAUUGACGCUGAGGUGCGAAAGCGUGGGGAGCAAACAGG
rnacentral:rRNA from 1 species